rnacentral:rRNA from 1 species
GUAGGUGGCAAGCGUUGUCCGGAAUUAUUGGGCGUAAAGCGCGCGCAGGGCGGUCCUUUAAGCCUGAUGUGAAAGCCCACGGCUCAACCGUGGAGGGUCAUUGGAAACUGGGGGACUUGAGUACAGAAGAGGAAAGCGGAAUUCCAAGUGUAGCGGUGAAAUGCGUAGAGAUUUGGAGGAACACCAGUGGCGAAGGCGGCUUUCUGGUCUGUAACUGACGCUGAGGCGCGAAAGCGUGGGGAGCAAACAGGAUUAGAUACCCUGGUAGUCCACGCCGUAAACGAUGAGUGCUAAGUGUUAGGGGGUUUCCGCCCCUUAGUGCUGCAGCUAACGCAUUAAGCACUCCGCCUGGGGAGUACGGCCGCAAGGCUA